GACGAACGCUGGCGGCGUGCUUAACACAUGCAAGUCGAACGGAAAGGCCCUGCUUUUGUGGGGUGCUCGAGUGGCGAACGGGUGAGUAACACGUGAGUAACCUGCCCUUGACUUUGGGAUAACUUCAGGAAACUGGGGCUAAUACCGGAUAGGAGCUCCUGCUGCAUGGUGGGGGUUGGAAAGUUUCGGCGGUUGGGGAUGGACUCGCGGCUCAUCAGCUUGUUGGUGGGGUAGUGGCUUACCAAGGCUUUGACGGGUAGCCGGCCUGAGAGGGUGACCGGCCACAUUGGGACGGAGAUACGGCCCAGACUCCUACGGGGGGCAGAAGGGGGGAAUAUUGCACAAGGGGCGGAAGCCUGAUGCAGCAACGCCGGGUGGGGGAUGACGGCCUUCGGGUGGUAAACCGCUUUCGCCUGUGACGAAGCGUGAGGGACGGGAAUGGGUAAAGAAGCACCGGCAAACUACGU
rnacentral:rRNA from 1 species